CUACGCACUCCUACGGGAGGCAGCAGUGGGGAAUAUUGCACAAUGGGCGCAAGCCUGAUGCAGCCAUGCCGCGUGUAUGAAGAAGGCCUUCGGGUUGUAAAGUACUUUCAGCAGUGAGGAAGGUGGGUAUGUUAAUAGUCAUAUUCAUUUGACGUUAGCUGCAGAAGAAGCACCGGCUAACUCCGUGCCAGCAGCCGCGGUAAUACGGAGGGUGCGAGCGUUAAUCGGAAUUACUGGGCGUAAAGCGCAUGCAGGUGGUUUGUUAAGUCAGAUGUGAAAGCCCGGGGCUCAACCUCGGAAUUGCAUUUGAAACUGGCAAACUAGAGUACUGUAGAGGGGGUAGAAUUUCAGGUGUAGCGGUGAAAUGCGUAGAGAUCUGAAGGAAUACCGGUGGCGAAGGCGGCCCCCCUGGACAGAUACUGACACUCAGAUGCGAAAGCGUGGGGAGCAAACAGGAUUAGAUACCCUGGUAG
rnacentral:rRNA from 1 species